rnacentral:lncRNA from 1 species
AUAUGCAGGUAUUUGAAUUUUGGUUCUCCCAAUUCUUAGCUCCACAGUCAUCUGUGAACAAAUCCCUUAUUUCCCUGAGUUUCAGGGUAACAAUUUUAUCUGGAAUAACUGCUUCUCUCUGUGGUUAGAUAAUUGUGUGUGUGUGUGUGUGUGUGUGUCUGUGUGUGUGAAAGUACAUCACGAACCUUAAAGCCAUAUAGAAAGAAAAUAUAAUUCACUCAAAAAGCACAUAUCGAGUGUUCAGGCUACAUAAAUCACAACAAUUAAUGAUGCUAUCAUAAAAAAAAACAAACAAAAAAACAUGUUGAAGACCUGGUUCUUAUUCUUGGGGCUAUAAUAAUCUGUUUAGGAAUUCCCUGGUGACCUAGAGGUUAAGGAUCCAGCAUUUUCACUGCUGUGGCUUGGGUCACUGGUCUGGUGCAAGUUUGAGCCCUGGCCCAGGAACUUCCUCAUGGUGCAGGCAUGACCAGAAAAAAAAAUCUGUUUAAAGAAAGAAAACUAGUAUACAGAAACAGUCUACAGAAAUACAAGAAAAUAUUAUUUUAAAUAUUACAGCAUGAUAAUGUGAGAAAAAAAGAAUCUAUACAUGUAUGUGUAACUGGGUCACCAUGCUGUACAGUAGGAAAAGAAAUGCAUUGGGGAAAUAACAAUUGACUACAAUAAAAAAAUUAAAAAAAUAUAUUACGGGCAUGCUGCAAUUUUUAUACUGGGGUUGAAAACAGUUAUAUUUGUUUUCAUAUUCAAAUAAUAAGAACUCCAAGAAAAAAUACAUUUAGCUCUAGGGCAAGGUUCGGUUCUUGUAGAAAAGCUUUUAUUCACGUCUACAGCCUCUUAUCCCAACCCCUUCAUCCAUGCUCCUUAAGUGGCUUGGAAGGAGCCUAGCAUCUGUCACACAGUUCAAAGGACAAGGCUUCCUGGAUGGUGAUACCAGGUCAUGGACCAGACUACUUCUCUCAAAACAGUUUCCCUUUGAGGAACCCUUGCUCUCAUUUCAUGGGGGCAACCCCCAGUCUGCCCAACCUUUCUAAAGAUUCAUACAUCAAAGGGAAGGAGUGUAUGUUCCACUCCCAAUGCUUUCAGAUUUCUCCUCUAAGCAAAUUCCUGGAUGCUAAGAUGUACAGUGGGGAAGGCAUUGCAUUCAGAAUGCACCAUCACUAACACCCACACCUAAGCCAAAGGCGGAAAAUACAUGGUGAUUUACUUGCUUUAUUUUGAGGCAAUAAUGGGGGAUGCAUGCUACUGAAACUUUCAAAAAUUAGGAUUUGAUAUCUCUACUACAAGAAAGGGUAGUAGUAGUAGUAUAUAGUAGUAGUAGUAGUAUAGUAGUAUCUCUACCCAACAACUACAAAAUAGCCCUUCCCUUAGAUAAAUAUAAAAUGAAAUUCUACAUUAUUCUUCAUUGCAAUAAUAACCAAGUACUAAGAAAUUCAAGGUAGGAGAGUAAUGUAUACCAGAAAAAUAAUCUUGGAGGAAGCUGGGCCUAUAAACCAGCAGGUGCCUAGCUAGUUUGCUGGGAACCAAUUUAAGCAUUAUGACCAAUUCAUGGUUGUAAGUCAUCUGUCUGGAAUUUUGCAGCAUUUCUCUGAAUUCACUGUAUAUAUGCACAAGGCAUAUAUGGAAUAGGGAAGAAAAACAAAGACAAAACAAUGUCUUCUGAAAAACAAACAAGCAAAAAAGUCUUUUGAGAAUCAUGUACCACUAAUUUUGCCCUAGAGCUUUAAUGACUGCCUGCAGAUGAAUUUGAGACUCUCUUUCUGAAAUGCCAGUUUUGCUUGAAUUGUACUUAGAUCCAAGGGGUUUUUUUUUUUUAAAUAUAUAUUUCACUCAGAAUAACAACCAAAGAAACGAUGUUCUAAUGCAAUCUGGGCUUGAAUAAAAUAAUCAUAUUUAAAUUCAUAAAUGGGAAAUUUCAGACAUAAGCCCUUCAUUUGGAUGACUUUCUACAGAGGCAUGACACGAGUGUGUAAUUUGGGAUCGGCUUGAAUAAUCCUCACUGUGUCAAAGCCAGUCAUUUUGCUAGAGUGAGCCUGCAUGGACAGAGCCCCCCCAAAUGACUGUCCCUAAAAGAAGGGCCAUUUUCUUCCAGUAUGGUGCCACAAAGUCAUGCUGAGGUAAUGGAUCAGGACGGAUUCUGCAAAAAGACUGCCUCUGCAAUUAGUUCCUGCAAGUUGGCCUGUGGAUGCAACACCAUACAGCACACACAUUUUAAAUGUGGGAAUGAAUGAGAAUAAAUUGCCAUGGAAUUGAACAUAUUGACCUAAAUAAUAUAUGCUGACACUGAAUCCAAAGUAGCUUCAAAAUAAUAAUAAUACAAAAAUCUCCCCUAAAUAUAACUCAUGAUGCAUACCAGAACUUAAGGAACAGGGGUUUGGGGGGAACAAAAAUGUUAAUAAUUCACUGUUUCCAGAGUUCCCUCUUACUAUCUUCAAAACUAAAUAAAGAGGUUUAACUUUGAGGACUGAAUCUAUAACCCAUUCCAUGAGUCAGUAAUACUUAGAAUUCCUGAGCAGUUAAUUGGUGCCUUAUUCAAUACAUCUUACUAAGAAUGACCGGGAUCACCUAAAUUGUCAUAUUUAUCAUGUAUUUUCCCUUCUUACAUUUUGAAUGCAGACAGUGAAAAGACAGCAAGGAAGUUAGCUGUAGCUUCAUGCUAUUGUUUAGCAAAAUAUCACAAUUACAUUAAGAAAAUAUUAGAUUAAGGAAGCGGCGUUCCCAUUAUGGCUCAGUGGUAAUGAACCCAACUAGUAUCCAUGAGGAAGCGGGUUCAAUCCCUGGUCCUGCUCAGUGGAUUAAGGAUCCAGCAUUGCCAUUAGCUGCAAUGUAGGUCGUCGUAGAUAUUGUAGCUGUGGCUGUGGCAUAGGCUGGCAGCUACAACUCUGAUUCGACCCCUAGCCUGGGAACUUCCAUAUGCAGUGUGUGCGGCCCUAAAAAUACAGCCAAUCAAUCACUCAAUCAAUAAAGGAAGCAAUUUAAAGUGUCAGUAGGCAUAUUACUUAGAUAUUUCUGCCCCUUCUCAACAAACCUGAACUUUUUCUUCCUUACUUGCCUCCAGUGGGCCAGGGUGGUGACAGCUGCCCAGUUCCUCCUCUCCUGCCUUCAGGUGGUAGAGUUUGUCACAUUUCCUAUAUGACGCAAUUGGAGGGAUGCUGAGAAAUAUCUGUCGGUCUGUCAUUAGCGCCUGACCCCAUAAGCCAUUUCUGAGUAUUAACCCAACCCUGAAUCAGGCUCUUUCCUGUAAGGAGAUUUCCAAGGAACUGAGAGGGUAUACUAAUUCAGCACAGGUGGAUAAUCUGGACAGGUGACAGAAAUGUUCCGAGUUAAGAGAUAAUCUCUUUGAAGACAGAAAUAGGCAGGGCCUCCUGAGCAUCACAUGCUGCCAAGCAGGAGUAUUAGGAGUUGAAUUGCCAAAACAAACAAACCAAAAAAACCUGCAUGUGGAAGUCCUAAUCCCUAGUACCUCAGCAUGAGAUCUUGUUUGGAAGUAGCAUCUUUCCAGAGAUAACCAAAUUAAAAUGAAGCCAUUAGGGGGGCCCUAAUCCGGUGUGACUGAUGUCCUCCUAAGAAGAAGAAACUUGAACACAGAGACAUUCAGGCACAGAGGGAUGAACGUGUGAAGUCCCAGGGAGGUUUCACAUGAAGACAGAUGCAGAGACUGGAAUUGUGCUGUCAGAAGAUGGUAAACAUCAAGGAUUGAUGGAAAUGACCCCAAACUGGGAAGAGACAGGGUAGGAUUCUCCCCUAUAGGAUCAUUCAGAAGGAGCACCUGCUGGCACCUUAGUUUGGACUUCUAGCUUCCAGAACUGGGACACCAUAAAAUCCUAUGAUUUUAAGCCAACCAGUUACUUGACUUUAUUACAGCAGCCCUACAAAACUAAUCCAGAAGUUCCUGUGGUGGUGUAGCGGGAAUGAAUCCGACUAGGAACCAUGAGGUUGUGGGUUCAAUCCCUGGCCUCGCUCAGUGGGUUAAGAAUCCGGCAUUGCUGUGAGCUCUGGUGUAGGUUGCAGAUGUGGCUGAGAUCUGGCGUUGCUGUGGUUGUGCUGUAGACUGGCAGCUGUACUUCCAAUUUGACCCCUGGGAUCUUCCAUAUGCCGGGGAUGUGGCCCUACAAAGGACAAAAGACAAAAAAAAAAAAAAAAAA